UGAGAUGAGCUUUUUUGUUUUGGCAAGAGCAUGAGAGCUUUUACUGGGCAAGAAGACAAGAGAUGGAGAGUCCAGCCGGGCCUGCGCUUAAGUGCGCGGUCUUGCUAGGCUUGUAAGUUUCUUUCUUGCUAUUCCAAACGGUGAGAGAUUUCUGUGCUUUUGUUAUAGGACAAUUAAAACCGUUUCAAUACAACACACUGUGGAGUUUUCAUAUCUUUGCAACUUUUUCUUUGGGCAUUCGAGCAAUCGGGGCCCAGAGGUAACAAACACAAACAAUUUUAUCUAUUCAUUAAAUUUUUGUCAAAAACAAGAAUUUUCGUAACUGGAAAUUUUAAAAUAUUAAAAACUUUCAACAACGGAUCUCUUGGUUCUCGCAUCGAUGAAGAACGCAGCGAAAUGCGAUACGUAAUGUGAAUUGCAGAAUUCCGUGAAUCAUCGAAUCUUUGAACGCACAUUGCGCCCCUUGGUAUUCCAGGGGGCAUGCCUGUUUGAGCGUCAUUUCCUUCUCAAACAUUCUGUUUGGUAGUGAGUGAUACUCUUUGGAGUUAACUUGAAAUUGCUGGCCUUUUCAUUGGAUGUUUUUUUUCCAAAGAGAGGUUUCUCUGCGUGCUUGAGGUAUAAUGCAAGUACGGUCGUUUUAGGUUUUACCAACUGCGGCUAAUCUUUUUUAUACUGAGCGUAUUGGAACGUUAUCGAUAAGAAGAGAGCGUCUAGGCGAACAAUGUUCUUAAAGUUUGACCUCAAAUCAGGAAGGAGUACCGCUGACUUACGCAUAUCA
rnacentral:rRNA from 1 species